GUUCCAUUUGGGGAAAUGUCCGACUUUCUGGACCAGGACAGGGAAUGGAAAAUGAAUGGAUUCCCUUCGCUGCCUAAAAUUUAAUCGUUGAUCAUUAAUAGUUUGGUGGCAGACUAUAUAGUGUCAAGCAACACUUUCAUAUAGACAAUUAAAAUUUUCAAAAACCAACAAUAUAGUUUUUGUCAUAUCUGUAAAUCAGUUAAUAUUAUUUUAAUAGUAUAGAGACACGAACAAUAAGUAAUUAAAGAAAUAUGCAAUUGAAUAAAUGAACAUGUGAAAAAGGAAAUACUGUAAUUGAGGAAACAUUAGACUACCAGAAAGGUGAAGUGGAACUGUGGAUCACUGAUGAGCACUGUGAGUUCAGGUGGUCCGUCGAAACUGAAAGAGAAAAGCGGGAGGGAAGCCAUUUCUGGGGUUGAAGGUCUGGCUGCAUCCCUAUUCGCCGAGCUAGUUGGUGGUGGAGUCUGCCAACCCCUGGUUGCCUGGCUGCUGGUUCCGCCUCUUCAUCGAUCUGAUAAGGAACAACAGGGAGGCUCUCGGUGGAGGAAAAGUCGUCGGGCGAUAAUGCGACUUGAAUAGAUUUGUAAAUCGAAUUUUUCACCCCAAGGUGGAUAUUUUAUAU